rnacentral:rRNA from 1 species
UCCAGACUCCUACGGGAGGCAGCAGUGGGGGAUAUUGCACAAUGGGGGGAACCCUGAUGCAGCGACGCCGCGUGGGUGAAGGAGCGUUUCGGCGCGUAAAGCCCUAUCGGCAGGGAAGAAGGAGGACGGUACCUGACUAAGAAGCCCCGGCUAACUACGUGCCAGCAGCCGCGGUAAUACGUAGGGGGCAAGCGUUAUCCGGAUUUACUGGGUGUAAAGGGGGCGCAGACGGCAGCGCAAGCCAGGAGUGAAAGCCCGGGGCCCAACCCCGGGACUGCUCUUGGAACUGCGCGGCUGGAGUGCAGGAGGGGCAGGCGGAAUUCCUGGUGUAGCGGUGAAAUGCGUAGAUAUCAGGAGGAACACCGGUGGCGAAGGCGGCCUGCUGGACUGCGACUGACGUUGAGGCGCGAAAGCGUGGGGAGCAAACAGGAUUAGAUACCCCCGUAG